UACGUAGGGUGCAAGCGUUAAUCGGAAUUACUGGGCGUAAAGCGUGCGCAGGCGGUUUUGUAAGUCUGUCGUGAAAGCCCCGGGCCCAACCUGGGAAUUGCGAUGGAGACUGCAAGGCUUGAAUCUGGCAGAGGGGGGUAGAAUUCCACGUGUAGCAGUGAAAUGCGUAGAGAUGUGGAGGAACACCGAUGGCGAAGGCAGCCCCCUGGGUCAAGAUUGACGCUCAUGCACGAAAGCGUGGGGAGCAAACAGG
rnacentral:rRNA from 1 species